ACGCUCGACACCUACGGAGGCAGCAGUGAGGAAUAUUGGUCAAUGGGCGCUAGCCUGAACCAGCCAAGUAGCGUGAAGGAUGAAGGCUCUAUGGGUCGUAAACUUCUUUUAUAUAAGAAUAAAGUGCAGUAUGUAUACUGUUUUGUAUGUAUUAUAUGAAUAAGGAUCGGCUAACUCCGUGCCAGCAGUCGCGGUAAUCUGAGCGGGCUGGCAAGGC
rnacentral:rRNA from 1 species